UGCUUGCGGGCACUCAAAUCCACCACAGCCACUGCAAAUGACUUCUGCCUCCCCACAGGCUUCAGGUCCUAGAUGACAUGAUGGGGUCUCUGAUGGGCUGAGCCCAAGUGAUGUGCUGGUUUCCUAGUUUCUGGGGCACAGAUAGAAACUCUCUGCCCUCUUUGGCUUCUAAAAUGUUGGGGUUGAGUCCAGAAACCAAAAGAUGAGGUCCAAGGAGAGAGAUGGUACUGCUGUGGCUGCUGACAAAUCCUUAGAUGCCAGACCCAGACCCAAAACUGGACUGUGUAGGAGAAAACUGGUGGGGGUGACCACUUCAGAGCCUGGAGUCUUAGGAGUGGAACUAGAAAUCAGUGAUUAAAAAAUGAGAAAAAUUCCUUGUUUUGGAACUAACUUGGCUAUGCUCACCUCAGAAUUGUCCAGCCACUUGAACAGCUUCCAUUGUUCACUGGGACCUUUUGAGGAUUGUCAAUCUAUUCACAGGGAAGCGGGUUCCAAGAUCAGAGUCUGUUUCCAAUGGGUCAUGAGUACAAAGAGCAUGCCUUUCAAUCUGUAAAUUACCUCCCCGGAAAAUCAGGAGAAAAGAAAUUGAAGAGUGGAAAGGAGGCCUGAGGCUACAGGAGUGCUUCCCUGGGAUUUCUUGAUUUGGAGCCUGAGGAAGAACAGCCUUGCCGCUGAGGCCAGGUGCUAAAGGGCUAUGAAGGUGAGAGCAAGAGCACAAACGAAUGCUACAUCUGGUUCUUCCAAAUAACAGAGAGACACAGGAAAACUGAAUGUGUUCUUGCCUCAGGUUCAGACUUGUUCAGUACAGCAAGCACUACAGUGCGUUUCCAUAUUGACUUUGGGAAAAACACAUUGCACUGUUUAUGAAGUUCUGUAGUCAAUCAGCAAACACAAAUCUAGCCCCUACUUGAGACUGCUAAUAAAGCAUAUUUAUUAUGUCCUCACUCCCAAACCCAGUGUAACAACUCUACAAACUAUAUACAUGAAUAACUACGGCCAGAGUUUAUUUCAUAAUAUAUUAAAAAUUCUAACUUGAAGAGGCAAUCAAUUCUACCAGCUCCAGAAGCUCCUUUCUGUUACCAUUACCAAUGGCUAAAACUAAUGGUUAGGCCACUAAAUAUCAUGUAGGGGAAAAAACCCUUUGUUUCCUCUUUAAAUUUUUGAGAAAGAACAAAUUGUGUUGAACAAACAUGAUAAUGAAAAUAUUAUAGCUUUGCUGGGUAUUGUUACAUUUUCAUUGUGUUGUAACCGCCUCUCAGGAUUAUGUUUUUCUAGCAUGGGGCAUUGUCUAUUUUUUUUUCUUCUUAUUCUCCCCAAAGCCCCCCAGUAUGUAGUUGUAUAUUCUAUCC